rnacentral:rRNA from 1 species
UACAGAGGUCUCAAGCGUUGUUCGGAUUCAUUGGGCGUAAAGGGCGCGUAGGCGGCGCGGUAAGUCGGGUGUGAAAUUUCGAGGCUUAACUUCGAAACUGCAUUCGAUACUGCCGUGCUUGAGGACUGGAGAGGAGACUGGAAUUUACGGUGUAGCGGUGAAAUGCGUAGAUAUCGUGAGGAACACCAGAGGCGAAGGCGGCUACCUGGACAAUUGCUGACGCUCAGGCACGAAAGCGUGGGGAGCAAAAGGG